GGAGCCUACGGGGGGCAGCAGUGAGGAAUAUUGGUCAAUGGGCGGAAGCCUGAACCAGCCAAGUCGCGUGAGGGAAGAAGGCCCUGCGGGUCGCAGACCUCUUUGGACGGGGAGCAAGGCCGCCGACGUGUCGGCGGAAGGAGAGUACCCGUAGAACAAGCAUCGGCUAACUCCGUGCCAGCAGCCGCGGUAAUACGGAGGGUGCAAGCGUUACUCGGAAUCACUGGGCGUAAAGAGCGCGUAGGCGGGAUAGCAAGUCAGAUGUGAAAUCCUAUGGCUUAACCAUAGAACUGCAUUUGAAACUG
rnacentral:rRNA from 1 species